GUACUGUUGGACCUAUAUCAUCCAUAAAUGUAAUAUAUUUGAUAAUAACAACACAAAGAAAGGGGUGAGAAUGAAAUUACAAUGGGGUAAGGAAAUGACACUUAUUGUCACUUCAGUCCAUAGGAAGAAAUAAUCAUCAUUAGAAGUAGUAAAUCGGAAGACCAUAUAUACAUGAUAUGUAUUUAUAUUUAUAAAUCGGUGCUCUCCUUUCUUCUCUUAUAUUCUUUAAAAGACAUAGAUUAUGUAAAGCAAUAAUUAUUGCAGCAUGUUAUUGGGGCUGUGCUACAUGGAUAGUUGUGAUAUGCCUAAGAAUGACAGAAAACGGGGAGGGGAUGGAGGUACUUGAGUAAAUAAAGUCUCUAUAUCUUAUUGGAAUUAAGUCAGCACCUCCCUGAACUAUGCUCUGACGAUCUGGUAUGUAAGUUCCAGAGCCACUGCUUNGCCCCUACAAGGAUAAGCAGGCU
rnacentral:lncRNA from 1 species